UACGUAGGGGGCAAGCGUUGUCCGGAAUUAUUGGGCGUAAAGAGCGCGUAGGCGGUCCGAUAAGUCGGCUGUGAAAGUCAGGGGCUCAACCCUUGAAAGCCGGCCGAUACUGUCGGACUAGAGUCCGGAAGAGGCAAGUGGAAUUCCCGGUGUAGCGGUGAAAUGCGCAGAUAUCGGGAGGAACACCGAUGGCGAAGGCGGCAGCUGGC
rnacentral:rRNA from 1 species